CCUACGGGCCGCACCAGUGGGGAAUAUUGGGCAAUGGGCGCAAGCCUGACCCAGCGACCCCGCGUGCGGGAUGACGGCCUUCGGGUUGUAAACCGCUUUCAGCGGGGACGAAGCGUAAGUGACGGUACCCGCUGAAGAAGCCCCGGCUAACUACGUGCCAGCAGCCGCGGUAAGACGUAGGGGGCGAGCGUUGUCCGGAUUUAUUGGGCGCAAAGCGCACGCAGGCGGCCGUGCAAGUCGGAUGUGAAAACACGAGGCUCAACCUCGUGCCUGCAUUCGAUACUGCUCGGCUCGAGGCAGGUAGGGGAGAUCGGAAUUCCCGGUGUAGCGGUGAAAUGCGCAGAUAUCGGGAGGAACACCGGUGGCGAAGGCGGAUCUCUGGGCCUGUUCUGACGCCCAUGUGCGAAAGCUGGGGGAGCGAACAGGAUUAGAUACCCGUGUAGUC
rnacentral:rRNA from 1 species